rnacentral:rRNA from 1 species
CGUGGGGGAUAACGUAGCGAAAGCUACGCUAAUACCGCAUACGAUCUAUGGAUGAAAGCGGGGGAUCGCAAGACCUCGCGCGAUUGGAGCGGCCGAUAUCAGAUUAGGUAGUUGGUGAGGUAAAGGCUCACCAAGCCGACGAUCUGUAGCUGGUCUGAGAGGACGACCAGCCACACUGGGACUGAGACACGGCCCAGACUCCUACGGGAGGCAGCAGUGGGAAUUUUGGACAAUGGGCGCAAGCCUGAUCCAGCAAUGCCGCGUGCAGGAUGAAGGCCUUCGGGUUGUAAACUGCUUUGUACGGAACGAAACGGUGAGCUCUAAUACAGUUUGCUAAUGACGGUACCGUAAGAAUAAGCACCGGCUAACUACGUG